GUGCAAGUUCAUCCAAAUUAAAGUGAUGUAACCUUGCAUUGAAGGUUGGCAAUAUGAAAUAUUAUGCGAUUCUCCGUGCCUUUGGAACUAAAUGUGUUGAUAUGGCCUCGAACAAAUCGUUACAUU